rnacentral:rRNA from 1 species
GACGAACGCUGGCGGCGUGCUUAACACAUGCAAGUCGAACGGAAAGGCCUGCUUUCCCUUGUGGAUUGCGGGUACUCGAGUGGCGAACGGGUGAGUAACACGUGAGUGAUCUGCCCCCAACUUGGGUAUAAGCCUGGGAAACUGGGUCUAAUUCCCGAUAGGACUGCAGGGUGGUGCCUGUGGUGGAAAACGAUUUUCUAGUGGUUGGGGAUGAGCUCGCGGCCUAUCAGCUUGUUGGUGGGGUAAUGGCCUACCAAGGCGGCGACGGGUAGCCGGCCUGGGAGGGUGGACGGCCACAUUGGGACUGAGAUACGGCCCAGACUACUACGGGAGGCAGCAGUGGGGAAUAUUGCACAAUGGGCGGAAGCCUGAUGCAGCGACGCCGCGUGGGGGAUGACGGCCUUCGGGUUGUAAACUCCUUUCGACCGCGAGGAAGCCACCUGGUUGGAAGGGUGGUGACGGUAGUGGUAGAAGAAGCACCGGCUAACUACGUG